UGACUUGAGGGAGGGUACCUGGGAUGGCGUCUGGCUCUGUGGACGUCCUGAAGGACAUGGUCGCUGGCUGGGACUUGCCCUUCUGAUUCUCAGCCACCACAAACACAUUGUACUCUGUGUCCCACUCCAGCCCGCUGAAAACCACGUACUCGCUGCUGCUCGGGAGUCGGAUUUCUGGUUUCCACUCUGACGCUUGUAUCUGAGGACACGGAGAUACACGUUCAUGUUCUUACCAUCCUGGACCUCGUACACCCUCUGCACCCAGCUGCCCUUGCCCUGCGGCCUCCACUCCGCCCGGAAUUUCAGGACAGGAACACCUCCAGUGGACUCGGGCUCCUCAAACUGGACCUGUGCUGUGGUGGAGAAGGGCUUCACCUCACUGAUGAACGGAGCUGAUGGCACAUCUGUUAACGGGAGGAAAUGCUGUGUGAUUACAACAAAAACCUGAUGUUGAUACACUCAGGGGACAAAAUGAAUGACUGCGCUUCACAUUUCCACCUUAUUUCUGGAGAUUCUGCAUUACAGCAGCGCAACCUGAGGAGACACCACGCAGAAACCGAGGACUAAGACCAGAUCUAAAAGAAGCUGACAUUAUAAACACUAAUGCACAACAGUGUUUCUGAAGCCUGCAUGAACUGAAAGACUGUGGCUAGUUUUAUUCUUUUUAAGCAGCUACAUGGAAGUAACGUUAAAUCAUGUAAUUUUGGUUUGAUUUUCAUCUCAUCUACAUUCAUCAUCCAUAUAAACAAACACUGCUCUGUGUAAUCUCACAUUGUAGUAGAUGUUUUGGUCUAAUGUGUUUGAAUAUGGGUGAAAAAUCCUCCUCUGAAGCCUGGGUAUUACGUGCAAUUUAAUUUGUGUUCUACAAUGAAAUUAACUUCCAACCAUCAAAAACCAGCCAGACAAAUAAAUGAGAGAGGCAGGAUUCUGAAUCACAGUAUGAUCACUGACCA